UGCCUACGGGACGCAGCAGUGAGGAAUAUUGGUCAAUGGGCGCAAGCCUGAACCAGCCAAGUCGCGUGAGGGAUGACGGUCCUAUGGAUUGUAAACCUCUUUUGUCGGGGAGCAAGGCCCGCCACGUGUGGCGGGAAGGAGAGUACCCGAAGAAAAAGCAUCGGCUAACUCCGUGCCAGCAGCCGCGGUAAUACGGAGGAUGCGAGCGUUAUCCGGAUUUAUUUGGUUUGAAGGGUGCGUAGGCGGAAGGUUAAGUCCGCGGUCAAAUGUCCGUGCUCAACACCCGCCUGCCGUUGCAACUGGGU
rnacentral:rRNA from 1 species